rnacentral:misc_RNA from 1 species
UCCGAGUUGACCCCGGCAGUCCCCCUAGAGUGCCCAACUGAAUGAUGGCAACUAGGGGCGAGGGUUGCGCUCGUUGCGGGACUUAACCCAACAUCUCACGACACGAGCUGACGACAGCCAUGCAGCACCUGUGCACGGGCUCCGAAGAGGGGCCGGUGUUUCCACCGGCUUUCCCGUGCAUGUCAAGCCUAGGUAAGGUUCUUCGCGUUGCAUCGAAUUAAUCCACAUAAUCCACCGCUUGUGCGGGUCCCCGUCAAUUCCUUUGAGUUUUAACCUUGCGGCCGUACUCCCCAGGCGGUCAACUUCACGCGUUAGCUUCGUUACCAAGGAAUUGCUUCCCCGACAACCAGUUGACAUAGUUUAGGGCGUGGACUAC